rnacentral:rRNA from 1 species
GGUUCGAUCCUGGCUCAGAUUGAACGCUGGCGGAUGCUUUACACAUGCAAGUCGAACGGCAGCACGGACUUCGGUCUGGUGGCGAGUGGCGAACGGGUGAGUAAUGUAUCGGAACGUGCUCUUAGUAGCGGGGGAUAACUACGCGAAAGCGUAGCCAAUACCGCAUACGCCCUUCGGGGGAAAGCGGGGGACCUUCGGGCCUCGCACUAUUAGAGCGGCCGAUAUCGGAUUAGCUAGUUGGUGGGGUAACGGCUCACCAAGGCGACGAGAUCCGUAGCUGGUUUGAGAGGACGACCAGCCACACUGGGACUGAGACACGGCCCAGACUCCUACGGGAGGCAGCAGUGGGGAAUUUUGGACAAUGGGAAACCUCCUGAUCCAGCCAUCCCGCGUGUGCGAUGAAGGCCUUGGGUUGUAAAGCACUUUUGGCAGGAAAGAAACGGUACGGGAUAAUACCCCGUGCAACUGACGGUACCUGCAGAAUAAGCACCGGCUAACUACGUGCCAGCAGCCGCGGCAAUACGUAGGGUGCAAGCGUUAAUCGAAUUACUGGGCGUAAAGCGUGCGCAGGCGGUUCGGAAAGAAAGAUGUGAAAUCCCAGAGCUUAACUUGAACUGCAUUUUAACUACCGAGCUAGAGUGUGUCAGAGGGAGGUGGAAUUCCGCGUGUAGCAGUGAAAUGCGUAGAUAUGCGGAGGAACACCGAUGGCGAAGUGCAGCCUCCUGGGAUAACACUGAUGUCAUGCACGAAAGCGUGGGGAGCAAACAGGAUUAGAUACCCUGGUAGUCCACGCCCCAAACGAUGUCAACUAGCUGUUGGGGCCUUCGGGCUCCUGGUAGCGCAGCUAACGGGGCAGGAAGUUGGACCCGCCUGGGGAGUAUGGUCGCAAGAUUAAAACUCAAAGGAAUUGACGGGGACUCGCACAAGCGGUGGAUGAUGUGGAUUAAUUCGAUGCAACGCGAAAACCUUACCUACCCUUGACAUGUCUGGAAUCCCGAAGAGAUUUGGGAGUGCCUGCAAGAGAACCGGAACACAGGUGCUGCAUGGCUGUCGUCAGCUCGUGUCGUGAGAUGCUGGGUUAUCCCGCAACGAGCGCAACCUUGUCAUUAGUUGCUACGAAAGGGCACUCUAAUGAGACUGCCGGUGACAAACCGGAGGAAGGUGGGGAUGACGUCAAGUCCUCAUGGCCCUUAUGGGUAAGGCUUCGACACGUCAUACAAUGGUCGGGACAGAGGGUCGCCAACCCGCGAGGGGGAGCCAAUCCCCCAGAAACCCGAUCGUAGUCCGGAUCGCAGUCUGCAACUCGACUGCGUAGUCGGAAUCGCUAGUAAUCGCGGAUCAGCAUGUCGCGGUGAAUACGUUCCCGGGGUCUUGUACACACCGCCUGUCACACCAUGGGAGUGGGUUUUACCAGAAGUAGUUAGCCUAACCGUAAGGAGGGCGAUUACCACGGUAGGAUUCAUGACUGGGGUGAAGUCGUAACAAGGUAG